CUUAACGCCACCUCUUCCUCACUUGUUCAUGUACUGAGCCAUCCGCACAUGGCCGAUUUAUUUCCUGGGUUCGAUCUCAACGAACCUGCGGCAGAGCACGGCAACGGAUUUGAUUUGAACUUACCACUAAGAUGAAUAUGGUGCAUUUGAUUUUGAUUUCGUACAAAACAUCGCUGAACCAAACCAUCGAAAGAAAGAAAUGACAGAAGAAGUCAGAAAACAAGUGUAUCAAGUAUUGCUGGCUAAAAGCAAGAAUGGGACACUAGGCAAUACAGAUACAAGAAUUGUUGCUAAUCAAUUUGGAUUGCACAUUCGGUCAGUCCAAUUGUGGUUGCAAGUAGAAAGAAGGGUAGAUGUGGCCAUAAGGCAAUCCCUCUUGAUUUGAAACAAUUGCGCAACAUUCCUCUCAAGUAAAG